AGGCACACAACCCUCCCUCAGCAAGGGAAAGUGUUCAUGCUUGGCCCCACUCACUUCGGUGGGAAGGGUGUUCAGGCAUGCACAGAACCACCACCUCAGCCAGGGAGGUCGUUGGUGCAUGCGCCCUGUCCCACGUAGCGCAGGAGGUGGUUCAGGAUUCUGCCUUGCCCCUGGUUGGUGUGUGAGAUGGUCACCCAUGCACAGUGCCACCUUUUAGGGAGAGAGUAGUGGUGUCACUAUUAAAUGUGAUAUUUCACGAAUGGUUCUUUCACUUUCACAGCUGAAGAAACGCGGCCAGGGAGGGCGUUGACGUAUGCUCCCCGCUCCCCUCGCCAGGAUGCUGUUCACGCAUGUGCAAAGUCCCCCCCCCUUGCCAAAGGGGGUUCAAGCAUGCCCACAACCCCCGCUCUCUGAAGAAACACACAUCUCUUAAGGUAAGUGUUAGGGUUGGCACUGACAUAAGGGGUAGGGUAAGGCUUAGGUAGUACUUCCUCCACCCUGGGUAUGAAAGGUUUUCAAGCAUUAGCUUUCCCCCCCU
rnacentral:lncRNA from 1 species